rnacentral:rRNA from 1 species
UACGUAGGGGGCUAGCGUUGUCCGGAAUCAUUGGGCGUAAAGAGCGUGUAGGCGGCCCGGUAAGUCCGCUGUGAAAGUCGGGGGCUCAACCCUCGAAUGCCGGUGGAUACUGUCGGGCUAGAGUGCGGAAGAGGCGAGUGGAAUCCUGGUGUAGCGGUGAAAUGCGUGAGAUAUACGGAGGAACACCAGCGGCGAAGGCGGAUCUCUGGGCAGUAACGUGACGCUGAGGAGCGAAAGCGUGGGGAGCGAAGAGGAUA